rnacentral:lncRNA from 1 species
CGGGAGGCCGGGGACCCAGCCUAAAAGGAACAAACAUACUCUGAGAAAAGCACUCGUUCUCUGUUCUUCGAGAAAGGAUCCCUCUACCAAAAGCCAUGCCGAUCGAUCGACGGCUUGUGGUUGUGCGCUUGUGAACUUAUUACGAGGUUGUUUAGGUCUCAAGCUUCCACGUACUGGACAGACGCGGCUACCUGCAGCCCUUGUCCAGGGAAUAUUUGGCAAAAGUUGCCCCUGUGGUCUCUAUUCUCCAAUCCAAUGCGUGAACCUUUUCUUUUCUUUUUUUUCAUUGGGCUACAGAGAAAGGAAAGUAUGAUGAUCGUAUAAUUGACUCGACGGUAAUUUCUCAUCUGAUUCCAAGGGCUUCCGGUGGAUGCAAGCGGUGGAAGGCGGACGGGCCAUCAGACAUCAGUAGCGUCAAUGCGUGUGUGG